UGUAACUAUCUUUGUCAGUUCAAUGGGAAUGAACCAAAACUACCUCAUCUCAAAAACCUCUCUCUGCCUCAUCACCUUUCAAACCCCAAAAGGGUUCCAUUUUUGUCGCACCUCCCCGUCUCUUUCUUUCGCUCCCCUUCGCCGAUAAUUGCCUAAGCUCGCCGGAGCUCUGUCGUGGGUCGUUCGUGUCGACUCAUCUCUCUCUCCUCUGUUCGUAUUCUGCCACCGCGGUGCUGCUCGCGAGCCACCGCGGUGCUGUUGCCCCUAUGUUUCUCUCCUCCUGCGUGCUAUAACCACCGGAGUUGCGCUGCCUUGCUCACCGAUGACUGAACACCUCUUCUCUCUCUCUAUCGCACGUUGUUGUUGCGACGGUGCUGCUUGUUGCCGCGCUGUGUUCUUCCCCCUGUUCGUGCUUAUUGAUGUUGCGGUUGUUGUUGUGGUUGGUGUGUUACUGCCGCCGUCGAUCUUGUCUGCGUUGCCUUCGUCGCCGCCUCGAUUUGCUGGUGGUUCACAUAAUAUCGAAGAUUUUGCAAAAACUGGACUUCAGUUGAAUUUCUAAAUAAGAGAGAGAAUUCAAAUGUUGUUUGAAUCUUCUUCCUCGUGCACGAUAGAGGAUCCGAGGAACUGGAUUUGAAUUUUUCCAACUUUAGAAAUUUUGCAAUUCAAAUCAUGAAUAUAUAAAUUAUACUUCAAUUGGGUUUCUGACAACCACGGUCGUAAUGAGAGGAUUGUACCAACUGCUAACUACAUAUACACUCAUGAAGUUAACUCUGAAGCUUCAAGUCUUAUGGAUGAUAAACUUAUACACCAAGAUUUUGAAACAAGAAGUGGAUUGCUAGAGAGUGACACAAAUUGCAAAGAAGAUGAUGUCAAUAGUGCGCGUGCUCGCAAUUCAUUCUCUAUGGCAAGAACAUCUUCAGCACAUCCUCCUCUAUACUCAAAUUGCCAGCAUAAAACACCAGCAUUUGAAAAACCUCUAAGACGACGUUUAACUUAUGAGGAGUUGGAGGUAGCAACCAAUGGAUUUUCAAAUGAUAAUUUCUUGGCUAAAGGUGGAUUUGGUAUUGUCAACAUAGGAGUUUUAAGGGAUGGGCAGGUUGUUGCAGUGAAACAAUUGAAGUUUGUGGAUUCUUAAGGGGACACUGAUUUCUGUGGGGAAGUGCGGGUAUUGAGUUGUGCACAGCACAGGAACGUUGUGUUGCUCAUUGGAUUUUGUGUCGAGGGAAAGAAAAGAGUGCUGGUUUAUGAGUAUAUUUGUAAUCGCUCCUUGGAUUUCCAUUUACAUGGUAUAACCUCCUAUUAUGAUAUCUGCUGUAGUAUGGUCUGUUUGAUAGGAGUAAUGUAUUUUGCAUCACAGGUGCCUUUGAAGCUUUUGUGUAUAUUGAUUGAAAUUUUAGGAGCUAUAUUCUUAAGUUUAUGUACAUGAAUUGGAAGGAACAGGCCUAGGUACUCUAUUAUUUUUUUUUUAUUGAUAUGCAUGUGAUUUUGUAGUGAAUGAUAUUGAAUGAAUAAAAAGGUUAUUCCAAUUAUAAAGUCA